AUACGUAUGUCGCAAGCGUUAUCCGGAAUUAUUGGGCGUAAAGCGAGUCUAGGCGGCUUGUUAAGUCAGAUGUGAAAAUGCGGGGCUCAACUCCGCAUUGCGUUUGAAACUGGCAGGCUAGAGUACUGUAGAGGUGGGCGGAACUACAAGUGUAGAGGUGAAAUUCGUAGAUAUUUGUAGGAAUGCCGAUAGUGAAGACAGCUCACUGGACAGAUACUGACGCUAAAGCUCGAAAGCGUGGGGAGCGAACAGGAUUAGAAACCCCAGUAGUCC
rnacentral:rRNA from 1 species